rnacentral:lncRNA from 1 species
AUAACAAACAUUAUAAAAAAAAUCGAUGACAUCAUAUAUUGGACAGAGGGUACAAUAAGCAAUGUAAAAAGUGCUUAUAUUUGGAAACUGAUGGAAUAGGUAGUCACGCUGACAAGUGACAUGGACUAGCCAUAUAAGAUCCACUUAAUAAUACGGCCUAAUUAAGCCAUUAGCAUCCGACAUACUCCCAUCACCUCUAUCCAAUUCAAACAUCUAAGCGCGACACCUCGCAAGUCUUCACUAAGCGAGUGGCAUAUCAGCAUCAUCUGAUCAUCAGCACCACAAAUACUAUAUCAGUAGCACAAAUAUCAGGGCCUCCUUCAGGACGUUCACUGAAAUUCAACUAACUCCCACGAAAUUCCUAUAAAAUUCAUGCGUUCCAAAAGAGCUAUCAUAGUAUUCAUCAAUACAUACCUCAAAAUAAGACAAGCAACAAGAGAGUCCACUAGAACAGCAGCUGGAGUUUAAAAAGUAAUUAAAUUGUGAAUUUUGCCAAUAACUUGGUACCUUAUGCGAAAUCGCAAUAUAUCCAACUAUUUUGCAUUGGAGCUCAUUGCCUUUGCAACCACAACAAGAAGGCGCGAGAAAACUCAGUGGAGAUUAUUUUUCACUCAUAAUCUCUAAUUAAGCUCCUUAGAUGCCACCAUGGAAUUAAAGAAGAGCACAUGGGUUUGGCCCCCAUACACCGACUAAUGGCAAUAUAUACGUGCAAAGAUACAUUUAUAUACCAUAUCCUGUACUAAGCAAUAACCUAGUGGCACAGUUAUGAGCUCGCAUUUGGGUCAACCUUGCCUUCAUAGUUGCCUUCAACUCCGAGACUUUACCUGCAAUUUUAGACGCAUCAUCGAUGAAUCAUGAUGAAUGGUGGUGAAAUAUUAUAAAAUCAGGUAAACUGAACUCAAACCUUUGAUCCCGAGGCCGAUAGCGUUGGCUCUGGAUCCCAAAACCAUCCAUUACUGCUUCUAUUUGCCCAAAACGGGAGCAUUAAUGCUAGAAUUAGUCCUAACUGAGGCAAAUUAUUUUCUCUACAGGUGGCUAUCUCUUAACCUUGAUGAGUAGCAGCAUUGACCAAACCCAAUGCAACACACAAACCAAAACAACUUUAAGUGAGUUGUAUGUCAUCAUCAUUAAUCAAGGUGGGAUAUGUAAGCAAUCUCGGGGAUUACAUUAGUGGGUUGAUACUAGUAUGACUUUACAAAGUUUAACCCUUUUCUUAAUUGUAAGGUGAUUAAGUCACACAAUCAGGAUGCAACAUCUCCAUAACACUAACAAGUCAACUAACGAAUUUAAUAUCUGCUCUCGGCAUUUAAACACUGCAAGCUGGAAACAAGAAAAACCCCAACGGAGCUGAGAUUUCAAAGUGCUGCUCUUAUGUGCAUCAAACAAAGUGGCAUUAAUGUAUUACUUAUCUCGUCGUCAUUGUAUCAAGAUGCGCACCAGAAGCAACGCAUCGGUGCGUGCAAGAACAUAGGUGUUGCGUUGCACCAUUUAAAGACCUAAUUGCAUAAGGUGCACUAGCAGCAUAUCUAUUCAAGAAACCUAUUUAUUCGAUUAACAUAACCAUGGCUCAACAUUCAAGUUCUCUCUUCUCUCCUUUUUUUUUUGACAGCAAUGCUGGGCAUUUGAGAUGGUGUGCCCAAUAAAUUCCAUUCAAGGCCACAUUGAAGUAGUGAAAUGAAUUGGAGGUCAGUCAAAUUUCUAUAAUCUUUAGAAGCAAUCAAAAAGGACAAAUAGUUGAUGAGUUUCAACUUUCAACUCCACACCUAAAAAUAAUAAAUAAUUGUCAUAAUUACCCAAUAAGUCCAGCUAACUUGCUUACAUGGCCACUACAAAGUUGUAAAAUCUACUGGAGGUAAUUAAGUCACUAGCAAACUUUUGGCACAAUUAAACUAGACAUGCCUAUCAUGGGUUACAAUUUUCAACCAGGCUCACUGUUGGGAGAUUGCCACAGUCAUCUAGCAUGUGGCUAAAGAAAACUACCGCCGAAGUAAGAAAAAAAAAGAGAAGAUUCAUCACUGGAAAUUUUCUUCUUUCAGAUAAAUGAAAAAAAAACAUUUCUUUGCCUUGUGUAUAUGACCAACCAUAAAGCCUCUCACCUCGCACUUCUCUCCCACCCAACACAGAUUAUUCAACCCCUACCAUGCCACUCUCCAGCCAUGAAUACCUUGGUAAUAAAAUGCGUCCUUCCUUAGCCUCUAGUACAUGAAGUAGUAGUAGUACUGCUAUACUCUUAAUGCUGCAUUAAAGAAAACCAAUUGACCUCCCCCUCACCCUCACCCAUCUCAUCCCCCUAUAAAUACUUGCCAUCUCUUCUCCGUCCAACCACACCACCCAGCAAGAAGACCCCGAGCAAUUCUACCCGCUCGGAGCUCCUCCCCUUUCAUCGUCUCCAAUCACCAUCAUCUGCACGUCUCACCGGCCCUACGCAACAGUAAGUUCCUUCGCCAUCGCCAUGUCUUCUCCUACCUCUAAGCUUCAUAUGACAGUCGUGCAAAAGUUUCCAUUUGACCAACCGGCUAACGAACGUUUUUAUGGGGGUGUAGGCAAGUGGGUUACCUCUCGAUCGGGAUGAGCCGCAGCAACAAGAAGAGCUCUAGGGGCAUCGACCUGAAGCUGAACCUCUCGCUGCCGGCGAGAGGGGACUCGUCGUCCAGGAGGGCGAUGGCCGCCGACGAGGAGUCGUCGCCGAGCUCGUGCCUGUCGUC